UGUGAGAUCAUGACCUGAGCCGAAGUCGGAGGCUUAACCAGCUGAGCCACCCAGGCGCCCCUCCAAAUAUUUCCAAUAUUGUUAGAGUUUGAGGUAAAAAGUAAGCAGAGGGUAGGGGGAAUGAGACCAUUUCUUGGGGACAUCUUACAAUUUCAGGAGACUGAUGCACCUGCCAACAGGGAAUCUCUGACCCUAAGUCUUCCCAGCAGGCCCUUGGAGGAGUGAAGAGCUAGCUUUCUACCUCACUUCUGUUACUACCAUCCUCUCCCCCAGGCUUUGCUGCCUCCUGUGCUUUCCUUUACGUUCCACAGCUGCUCUUCCUUCCCAAGAAUGGUGUUCUCGCCUGCUGUUUCUCACAUUCAAGAUGAGAGGCAAAGCCUGGUGCCAAGGCUCAGUCCUCAUGAAGGAUUUGCGGUGCUAAUCCCAGCUGAGCAAGCGUGGCCUGGCCCGGCCCAGUGUCUGUCUUAGCAUAUAGCAAAAAGAUUUUAAAUUUGGGAGAGAAGAAUUGUAAACCAUGGCUAGCCUCAGUCUGUGCCCCCAACUCAUCUGAAAUAGGAGGGAACCACCUCUUGCCUUAACCUUUACUGUUUUCUGAGGGCAGAGGAAUGGGCACCUGCACCACCAAGUGUGUCAGCUCAGGAGCCGGGUUCCUCCAGUGGUUGAAUGGUUUAUCGCUUCUCUCUUGUUGAGUUUACUCUUGAUACUUUUUAUUGAUUGCUGUCUUUUACUUCUGUGUCUAAUCUAAACAGACCUUUCUCCCACUUUUUUUUUUACUCUCACCAAUGAAUUAUUUUCCCCCUUUUAUUUAAAUGCAAGUUAGUUAAUAUAUAGUGUAAUGAUGGUUUCAGGAGUAGAAUUAGUGAUUCAUCAGUUUACAUCCCACUCACCAAUGAAUUCUAAUGAAGAGAAAGCACCGUUUCUUACUGUCAUUCAGUAACUGGAAAAUAAUCAAGUAUUGCUACCUGCUGACUUGUAUCUUUAGUGUAAUGCCAAGAAGGAAGUGCUUUGAGUAAGUGUUGGAUUCUGAUCCAGUAUUUGGUAUUGGAUUCCUGUAAGGUUGGGAUAAUUAUUUGGAACUCCACCUUUUAAAAUAUUUUCUGAUCCUUGCUGUCCCUUUAACACAAGGCAUUCAAAGCAGAAUGAGGCUCAGAAUCCCCCAGGGUCCUUGUUUAAAACAAGAUUGCUAAACUUCAGUCCCACAGGUAAUUCUAAUAAUCAUGGCCAAUCUGGCCAGCUAAAAUUAUAAACGUAAGGUAUAGUUCCAUCACGACUGAGCUAUAUCAUUGAAUUCUGUGAUUUCUAGUAUUCUGCCCUCCAGCACAGCCCAGUCUUCAUCUCGGCCUAGUGCUCCCACUCUGCCAGCCCCCUUGGCUGUGCGUUGUAAGCCCACCCUCUCAGCAGCACCAGGGACUGGUUUUACACUGGAGCUGGAGAAGGGAGGAGGCCCAUGCUGAAGCUCACAUCUCCGGGGGGGUCUCUCCGUCAUACUCCCCCUGCACGUGCCCGGAGGGGCUUUUGGUUGUUCCCGCUCGUCAGGAUCGGGAUAUUACCCUAGCAGUCUUCAUGCUCAGGCAAGUCACAGCCCUUUUUAGAAAGUUUUAUAAUUUCAGAUUAUUUAGAAAUUGUAUCCGAUUUUCCCAUAACAGAACUUAAUAGCUAACUUUUUGUAGAAAUUACUUGAAGUGUUUCAUCAACUAUAAAUGAUAUUCCUAUAAAGUGUUUAGAGGUAUCAAUUAGUAUGACACAGAAACCCAUCUUAAGUGGAAUUUAAUGCCCUACAGUAUCAGAUUAAAUUCAUCUUUGUGACUCAUGUCUUAUUUUUACUAGGUCACAUUAGAAGAUACGGGCACUUUGAUUAAGUUCCUAAAAUUUACAGAGGUACCAGCUUCCAGUUAUAAAAUAAAGAAGUCACGGGUGAAAAGUACACAAUGGAGGGGAGGGCGUGUACUGAGGCUCAUUUGGAUAAAGGCAGUGUUCCUAAAGGCUUUUUUUUCCUGAAGACCUUUGUGAUACAAUAAUCUGAGAAUUUCUCUGUAGAGCAGAGACUGAAAAUUUUGGUUGUAACUCAUGACAAAAAAAAAAAAAUGCAUUUAUAGCAAAAUUCAGCAUAUUCAUAAUGGAACAUUAUGUGAAGGGUACUCUGGUGCUUUUUAUUGUUUCAGUUUUUAUGUCAUUUUUUUUAUAGUUUAUUGUCGAGUUGGUUUCCAUGUAACACCCAGUGCUCGUCCCAACAGGUGCCUCCUCCACGCCCAUCCCCCUUCCCCCUCCCCCUCGUUUCAGUCUUUAAAAUAUGCUGGUUGUGACCUACCAGAUUGAUUUCAUAAUCUACCAAUUGGUUGCAGCCCUUAGUUUGAAAAGAAGAAAACACCCUAAUGGAGGAACUGAUAUUUAUUGAAUAUCUUUUGUUUUCUAGGCAUUUUACAGGUAAGGAAACUGAGCCUCAGAGAAGUUAAAUUUAUUCAGUUGUAAAAAGUUGAAGCCAGGAUGGUCACUAGGUCUCUUGACUACAGACACCUCUGUUCCUCUCUCACUAGCGCUACUUCUGGGUGUAAACUUGAGGUGGGGCCUUCGUCCUGCCUCGCCCAAACCCGGCACGCUCUCGGGGGCAGGCUUGCUGUGAAGUUACACAUGCCAUUCUUUUGCAGUGUUUGUUUGUUUGUUUUUCUUUUUUAGAUCUUUUGUCACAAGGUGUCCCACAGCUUCAGAGUUUUUAAUAGUGGCUGAUACAGAAGUGCCCAGUGCUGAAUUUGGUCCUUAGACUAUAAAAUUAAAAAUGUUUUCAUCCCACCUGCACAUCCUACAAAUUUUCUGGUAUUCCAUGGAUUAUAGCCAUUUCUUAAGCAGUGCUUUUUUAUAUUAAAAAUUAGCUUACAGCAAAAUCUGUCAUAACACACAGAAUCAAAUGAUUACUCUUCUUUAAAAUGGUACCCUUGGGAGGCCAUGCACUUAUUGUAGUGACGCUAGUAUUACUUAGAACAUUUUUGAAACUUUUCUUUUAGAACUGUCUCCAGAGACUCUGUAAACCACAUAGGAAAGCCGCCUCGGUGUUUGUCAGUCACAAAUUGCACGCCCUCGUCCUUACGACCUUUCCUCUCUCCCAGACUCAGUUUUGCUUUUCUUUUGCUGGCUUAGCUCUCCUGCUGCCCUCUUCUGGAGCCAGUAGCCUGAGCAUGCCCAGAAAAGGGGGUAUGCUGGCCAGAAUUCCCAGAGCAAGAACCUUUAGUUCAUACUGAGGUUGAAUGCUGCAAAGGGAGAACCCUGUGAGUCCAAAAACCUUUCUCUGUGGGCUGCCCGCCUGUGAGUGUCCUACGUGGUUUGCACAGGAGUAAGGACUGAAUACUGGUAAUAUCAAUCACAGCAAGCUGAGGAAGCCUGCACUAUACAUAAAUCGUGUACAUUUUCCUCCGGUGAAGAACAGAAACCAAACCAAGCCAUGCUUUGUGUUAACUUAAAACUGAAAGAUCUUUCUCAGGGUCCCCUUUGCCCUUCAUUGCUGCCACUUGAAAUCUGGGAGGAAGAACGGUGAAAAGCCUGGGAAAAAAUGCUCUCCUUUGAAGUGGACAUGUUCUUCUCUUGUAAUCAAGUGCAGUGUGGCCUUGGCUCUCAGGUACUUACGAGUAUUAGACAAUGUUCGUAAGUAGACGACUCAUAAAAGGUAAGAAAGCUUACCUGGUAGCCUAAAAUAAUGUAAACAGUCGACGUUCUAUUUGUGUUUUUAAUCCUUCAUUUUAUUUCUAGCAAGUGGUUCUCAAUUUUUAUAUUCAUUAAUUUGACACCAUUUUACAGAGAAACUUCUUGAGUACUAUAAACAAUCUGGCAAAAGGUCCAUAUAUUAUCAACAUUGCCACCCUAAAAGAAAAUAUUUAUUUUUGGAGACAAUAAAUAUAUCUGUAUGAAUUUAACAAAAGAAAUAGAAUAAAAGUGUGAAAAGGUGUCAGAGGCAUGAUGUGCCCAAGGUCAAAGCUAAUUAGCACCACAGCUAGAAUUAUAACCAAGGUCUAAGAAAAAAAUUCUCAAGGUAGUUUAACUGAGGCUUUGAUGGCAUAUUAAGUUGCAUGCUGAGCCUUGUGGUCUUUCAGACCAGCUUUAACAUUCCAAAUCAGGCAAUAGCGACAGUGGAAAGAAAAUUGGAUGGGAAAUCAGGACAUCAGAGGCUAGUUUUGGCUUUAUCUCUGCCAUAGUAAGUUUUUUCUCAGGGGUGGCUGCCUUGUCCUGCUCCAGCCAGGGAUUCGCCAACCGUAAACCUUAGUAGUUAGCGACUUGACACUCUCCAUUCUUUAUAUUUAGCCACUUACUGGGUCUUGUCAGUUCUACUUUGAGUAUUAGUUUGCAUCUAUUUCUAAAUAUAUUCAUGGUCAUCACUCUAGUAAAAAACUGUAUUACCAUGCACCCCCUACCUCAUUUUCCCCAGCGCUAAGCCAUUCCUCACAUCACUGCCACAAGACUGAGAACCAGGUCCCUCUUCCAUUUUUCUGCUGGAAUCCUGUCAGUGGCUCCCACUGAGCACUUGAUAAAGCUCAGAUCCCUUAGGGCGGCCUUCACAGCUUGCCGUAUUCUAGCCCCAGCUUUCUCUCUUCAAACUCAACUGCUCCCCAUCUAACAAUGCCCCUGAGAUUCAGGCAUUCCGCAAAAACGAUUUUAAGGUUUUUCUGUGAAGUUACAAACUGGUAAUAAACUCUUUACAUUUGUCCAGACGGAAGUAAUUUCUGUAAUACUACAUUUUACAGCACGAGUCAGCCUAAAAGUUGUUUCUUAAGGAAAACCUUUUUGUCCCCGCAGCAGAAAUGACAUUCAGUUUCUUAACCUCCAAGACAAUGUCAGUCCUGUAGCCUGUCUGAUAGCCAAAGCAUGGGGACUUUUCUUCAGCAGCAUCGAUACUCCAGGCUUGAAGGGACCAUUGUCGAGCUCCUUUGGGAAACUUGACUAAUACAUAUUUGAGAAAAACAACUCAAGAGUACAUGUUAUUCUUACAUUGCUCAAGUACUUGAGAUGUUCUUGUAUUAUGGUUAAUCAUUAAAAAGAUGUUUACCUGGGUUUUAUUGAUUAAAUCCCCUAAAGAUAUUUUCCAUUUUAUUGUUAAACUCUUAAUGUUAGCAAGGGUCAGCACAAGAAAAGCCCCAAUGGUGAGAAUUUCUACAAAUUCUGUAAAGCUUACUGAAUUCAUUAUGUUGAGUGGUGCUUGUAUAAGGAAACAUGCAAUAAAAUUCAUUCAACAAACAUUGAACUGAAUGCCUGUUGUGUGUUGAGUGCCAGGGCCAUAUAUAGAGAAAUAUUAGACCUAUAGAAUCGACCCUUGUAAACCAUUCCGGCUAAUAAAUGAAUUCAGAUACGUAAAGCGAGUAAGUCACAGCAACACAUGGUAAGUACCUUAAACGAACAAAGACGAAAUGAUUUGCUCUGCCUGGAAAAGGGAAAGGCUUGGUGAGGCACGUGUUACCUGAGCAGUACGUGCAGGAAGGAUAUGCCUGACUGAACACAGAGUCGUGGCCUUUGAGGUGGCAGGGGAGCUGCAUGUACACUGGCCUGGAAACAUGAAAGAGCAGAGGCUGCUUGCAGAAAACCAAGGAAUUCUAUGUUGCAAGCGAUGAAGCUGGUAGGAUGGACAUACAGGGAGAGUGGUAUUACAUGUUUUGAACUUAAUAAUUCUUUGUUUAAAGGAAUCAGUGGAUUGCCUUGUAUCAGAUUAAGACUGUUAACAACCCUCAGAGUUCCUCGUUUUGCCUUCCUGGCCAGGGAAGUUGGUAAUAAACCUCACCUUUGCCAGGCUUCUCAGUAUCUGGCGUAUUUGCUUUCCUUUCCCACAUGCAAGAAGUGAUUUGUGUUUUCUUGCCUCCCUGCUGUGAGGGCCUCUGCUUCGUAUUGAAUGCCUGCUUUCUUCCUGUCCUGCUCUUCAUUCCGUAAAUAUUUAUUGAAAACCCACUGAGAAAUACUCAUGAAAUUUUCCUUUUACUGUCCAAGACUUUCAUGGUCCAGUUUUCCAUCUCUAUAGGAGUAUUUCUUGGCCACUGCAGCUCACUGGCUCCCAUUUUCACUUGUGGCUAAUUCUGCGAUGUUCUACAACUUCACGGCUAUAAACUUCUAUUGUUCUUGGUCAUAUGGUCUCCCCGACUAGACUGUAAGCUGCUUUCAGGGCUUAUCACCUCCUUCUUGGAGAAUUUCAUGGCAUAAAUUACAGUGAUGAGAAGGGGGAAGAAAUGAUACCCUCUUCCCCAAGUAGUGACUUCCAGAUGAUCAAUGAUGUGGUCAUAGCGUAUGUGUUGCUCCAUCUUUCAGGGAUCUGUAUGGAAAUGUGAAAAAGCCUCUAAGACCUUUCAAACCUUUGCUCAAUACUCACUUUUGUAUAUUAACCUAGGAAUGAGUGGUGCAACAGAAGAAAUCUGGAAAAUACCUCCAGCACUUGGGAGCCAUGAAGUGAAAAUUUCAUAAUUUGGAGGGUGGUCAUGAAGAUUAAAAUAAUACAUGUUAAGUGCCUGUAAUGGACCUUGGCUCAUAGUAAUUGCACAAAUAUUUGGUCCAUCCUCUGACUUCAAGGCUACAACUUUGAUUUCAAAGGUAUUGAUCAGAAGCAAUGAACUGAACAGAACUCAGACUCAACACUGAGGAAGCUCUGUCCUGCUCUUCCAGUAAACAGCCUGAUUUUCAGGAGCAGAAACUCAAGCCUGUGCAAGAGCUUUAUGGUUCCUCUUCAAGGCUCACCGAAAAAGAAGAAGAGUUCCCACUGAGAAACCAGAGUCCUACCUGUCCUGGGGCUACAUCGGUUGGGUCUGGACCAUGAUGAAAUUCUCUGUGCAAUUUUCCAGAAUGUAAGUCAAAUACAAACUGCUUGAGUUUCCCAGGAAUUCUAAAACCAAAGUAAAAUAAAAAAAUUUGGCUUAA